GGGAAAACACGAAAAUCCAAAGAACACAGGUUUUCAAACCCUAAACCAUGAUUUGACUCGAUCUAUGAUCUCGUGAGGAAUUAGACGAAUUCCUUCGGUGGAAAGGCUCAACGCUCACGUCAUAGAUCAAGUCAAGGCAACAAAAACAGAUCAAAAUGGUCUCAAAACGAAGAAUCGAGCCUCCAAAGAAAAGGGGCACAAAGGAAUUCACAAAGAACACGAAGAGCACGAUUCACAAACUGAAUCCCGAAGGACACAAGGUGGUUAGGACCACCCAUCCCGCUGC
rnacentral:lncRNA from 1 species